CAGUCGACGGACCCUUCGGGGUUAGUGGCGGACGGGUGAGUAACACGUGGGAACGUGCCUUUAGGUUCGGAAUAGCUCCUGGAAACGGGUGGUAAUGCCGAAUGUGCCCUUCGGGGGAAAGAUUUAUCGCCUUUAGAGCGGCCCGCGUCUGAUUAGCUUGUUGGUGGGGUAAUGGCCCACCAAGGCUACGAUCAGUAGCUGGUCUGAGAGGAUGACCAGCCACAUUGGGACUGAGACACGGCCCAAACUCCUACGGGAGGCAGCAGUGGGGAAUCUUGCGCAAUGGGCGAAAGCCUGACGCAGCCAUGCCGCGUGUAUGAUGAAGGUCUUAGGAUUGUAAAAUACUUUCACCGGUGAAGAUAAUGACUGUAGCCGGAGAAGAAGCCCCGGCUAACUUCGUGCCAGCAGCCGCGGUAAUACGAAGGGGGCUAGCGUUGCUCGGAAUUACUGGGCGUAAAGGGAGCGUAGGCGGACAUUUAAGUCAGAGGUGAAAUCCCGGAGCUCAACUCCGGAACUGCCUUUGAUACUGGGUGUCUUGAGUGUGAGAGAGGUAUGUGGAAC
rnacentral:rRNA from 1 species